GAUGAACGCUGGCGGCGUGCCUAAUACGUGCAAGUCGAGCGAACAGACGAGGAGCUUGCUCCUCUGACGUUAGCGGCGGACGGGUGAGUAACACGUGGAUAACCUACCUAUAAGACUGGGAUAACUUCGGGAAACCGGAGCUAAUACCGGAUAAUAUAUUGAACCGCAUGGUUCAAUAGUGAAAGACGGUUUUGCUGUCACUUAUAGAUGGAUCCGCGCCGCAUUAGUUAGUUGGUAAGGUAACGGCUUACCAAGGCGACGAUGGGUAACCGACCUGAGAGGGACGUCGGACAGACGGGAACUGAGACAGGGUAGCGACUCCUACAGGAGGCAGCAGUAGGGAAUCUUACGCGAUGGACGAAAGCUUAACGGUGCAACGCCGCGUGAGUGCUGAUGGUCUUCGGAUCGUAAAGCUCUGUUAGUAGGGAAGAACAAAUGUGUAAGUAACUAUGCACGUCUUGACGGUACCUAAUCAGAAAGCCACGGCUAACUACGUG
rnacentral:rRNA from 1 species